rnacentral:lncRNA from 1 species
ACAUCCUUAUCACUCAGGAAAUUCCAGGAAUUUUUGAAGCUCUGUGCCAGGAACCAAGGACUAAGACCAAAUAUAUUUUUAUUUUUAUUUAUUAUUUAUUUAUUUAUUUAUUUUUUGAGAUGGAGUUUCGCUCUUGUUGCCCAGGCUGGAGUGCAAUGGUGAGAUCUCUGCUCACUGCAACCUCCACCUCCCAGGUUCAAGGGAUUCUUGUGCCUCAGCCUCCUGAGUAGCUGAGAUUACAGGCACCCACCACCACGUCCGGCUAAGUUGUUGUUUUUUGUUUUUGUUCUUGUUUUUUUGAGAGAUGGAGUCUUGAUCUGUCACCCAGGCUGGAGUGGAGUGGCGGUAUCUCGGCUCACUGCAACCUCCACCUCCCGGGUUUGAGCGAUUCUCCUGCCUCAGCUUCCCAAGUAGCUGGGACCACAGACGUUUGCCACCACUCCCAGUUAAUUUUUGUAUUUUUUUAGUAGAGUUGGGGUUUCACUAUAUGUUGGCCAGCCUGGUCUCAAACUCCUGACCUCAGGUGAUCUGCCCACCUCGGCCUCCCAAAGUGUUGGGAUUAUAGGCGUGAGCCACCGUGCCUGGCCAAUUUUUUGUAUUUUUUUGUAGAGACGGGGUUUCACCAUGUUGGCCAGGCUGGUCUUGAAUUCCUGGCCUCAGGUUAUCCGCCUGCCUGAGCCUCCCAAAGUGCUGGAUUACAGGCAUGACCCACCAAACCCAGCCCAAAUAUAUUUGCAUAUAUAUAUAUUUUAAUAUCCCACGCCUACACUCUGGGAUAACUCAGCUCUUACAGGCAGUAAUCAUGGGUCAGACCUGCCAUUAUCCAGUUCAGCCCAUUUCAUUUGACAGACACCUGGUGAAUAGAGACAUGCAGGGACUCUUGUCCACAUUUGCCCAGUUGGCUGAUAGCACAGUGUACAAAGUCUGUCUGCAGCAGGUCAUAAUUUCACAGCUCUGCCACAUGCAUGUAUAUCACUGUACCAAGCGUGUUCACAUGGUAUGGUGCUGACACAUGUUGACGGAAUGUGGUACAGACCCUCUGUGUGAAGUGUGUUCACACAGUGCGGUGCUGACCCUCUGUAUGAAGCGUGUUCACACGGUGCGGUGCUGACUCUCUGUAUGAAGCGUGUUCACCUGGUGCAGGACAGACUCUCUGCAUGAAGCAUGUUCACACAGUGCGGUGCUGACCCUCUGUAUGAAGCAUGUUCACGUAGUGCAGUGCUGACUCUGUAUGAAGUGUGUUCACACAAUGAGGUGCUGACCUCAUGUAUGAAGCAUGUUCACACAAUGCGGUGCUGACCCUCUGUAUGAAGCGUGUUCACACGGUGCGGUGCUGACUCUCUGUAUGACACAUGUUCACACAAUGCGGUGCUGACCUUCUGUAUGAAGCGUGUUCACACAGUGCAGUGCUGACCUUCUGUAUGACACAUGUUCACAGAGUGAGGUGCUGAUCUUCUGUAUGAAGCAUGUUCACAUGGUGCAGUACUGACUCUCUGUUUGAAGUGUGUUCACAUGGUGCAGUGCUGUCUCUGUAUGAAGUGUGUUCACACGGUGCGGUGCUGACUCUCUGUAUGAAGCGUGUUCACACAGUGCGGUGCUGACUCUCUGUAUGAAGCAUGUUCACACGGUGCGGUGCUGACUCUCUGUAUGAAGUGUGUUCACCUGGUGCAGUACAGGCUCUCUGCAUGAAGCAUGUUCACACAGUGCGGUGCUGACCCUCUGUAUGAAGCGUGUUCACACAGUGCAUGUGAAACCAGAACCGACAGUCGAACCCAAGCAGAAGUCUUGACCAAGCACUUCCCUCCUGGGAAUGCACCAUGAUAUCACCACACCGAAGUCCAGGCUGGCAAAUAGGGACAUUUAAGUGACAUUUAAGCUCGUGGUGGCCCUAUGAGGAGUCAUUGCUGACUGAGAUGGGAUUUUAAGGUGUUGCCUGCCUGUGUGUUCUCAGACCCUCUCCUGAAGCCCCACCCCUUCCCCUGAUCCUCUCCUGGGACCCCCCUCCCCUAUCCCUGACCCUCUCCUGGAUCCCCUCCCCUUUCCCUGACCCUCUCCUGGAGCCCCCUCCCCUCUCCCUGU